rnacentral:rRNA from 1 species
GACGAACGCUGGCGGCGUGCUUAACACAUGCAAGUCGUACGGUAAGGCCCUUUCGGGGGUCCACGAGUGGCGAACGGGUGAGUAACACGUGAGUAACCUGCCCACAACUUUGGGAUAACGCUAGGAAACUGGUGCUAAUACUGGAUAUGUGCUCCUGCUGCAUGGUGGGGGUUGGAAAGCUCCGGCGGUUGUGGAUGGACUCGCGGCCUAUCAGCUUGUUGGUGGGGUAGUGGCCUACCAAGGCGGCGACGGGUAGCCGGCCUGAGAGGGUGACCGGCCACAUUGGGACUGAGAUACGGCCCAGACUCCUACGGGAGGCAGCAGUGGGGAAUCUUGAUCAAUGGGCGCAAGCCUGAUGCAGCAACGCCGCGUGCGGGAUGACGGCCUUCGGGUUGUAAACCGCUUUCAGCAGGGACGAAGCUUUUUGUGACGGUACCUGCAGAAGAAGCACCGGCUAACUACGUG